UUGGAGGGCAAGUCUGGUGCCAGCAGCCGCGGUAAUUCCAGCUCCAAUAGCGUAUAUUAAAGUUGUUGCAGUUAAAAAGCUCGUAGUUGAACUUCGGAAUCAAUGGAUUGGUCAUGCCGUUGGUAUGUACUGGUCAUAUUGGUUCUCACCUUCUAAGGAACCAUAAUGUCAUUCAUUUGAUGUUUUGGGGAAUUAGGACUGUUACCUUGAAAAAAUUAGAGUGUUUAAAGCAGGCUAACGCUUGAAUACAUUAGCAUGGAAUAAUGAAAUAGGACAUCGCAUUCUAUUUUGUUGGUUUCUAGGAUCGAUGUAAUGAUUAAUAGGGAUAGUUGGGGGCAUUAGUAUUCAAUUGUCAGAGGUGAAAUUCUUGGAUUUAUUGAAGACUAACUACUGCGAAAGCAUUUGCCAUGGAUGUUUUCAUUAAUCAAGAACGAAAGUUAGGGGAUCGAAGACGAUCAGAUACCGUCGUAGUCUUAACCAUAAACUAUGCCGACUAGGGAUCGGAUGAUGUUAAUUUUUUAAUGACUCAUUCGGCGCCUUACGGGAAAC
rnacentral:rRNA from 1 species